rnacentral:lncRNA from 10 species
GUCAUAGGGGAUAUGAUGGCUUAGCUUGGGCUCCGAGGCCUGACACCUGUUAUUAGAUUCUAGCCUUAUUCAUUGUUUUUGAGUUUUUAUUAUUUGCCUAUAAUUUGGACUGGAUUCAGACUUAUUUCCUGGCUGCAAGUCUCCAAACUAACAUUUUCAACUUUUUCUUCCAUUUUCUUGAUUUGGAAUUGUUACUGGAAAGGGGUCCCGAUCCAGACCCUAAGACAGAGUUCUUGGAUCUUGCGUACGAAAGAAUCCAGGCCCGAGAUUAUGUGUACAUUGUUUUCUGAGGCCUGAUGACCUCAAUACUCCUUCUGGCUGGAGAGACCUCCUCAUUCAGUCCAUUCCAAAUAGUCAGCAGAGGGAGUUCACCUCUUCUCCACGGAAUGAGCGUGGUCCUUGUCCUUUAUUAUUUGGUUUCUAUCUCCUAACAAAUGACAUUAAAUGUUCCCUCAUUCAAAACAUCUUGUGGGCCUUGUGGUGUUCUGGUCACUGCUACCCUCUCAAUGCCACACAUGAGCCCUCAGGGUGAGCCCUACAGAGUUUCAUCCUUGUGGAUAAGAAGAUGUGUACUUGGGAACAAGGCUAAAGCCAUGGCUGAUUUCCCCAACCUUUUAUCGCGAAGAACUCCAGUUGUAACUUUUGAGAGUUUUUUUGGCAAAAGGAACUACAUUUACUCAUGCCAAAUACCUAUGGUCACUUCUCAGUACUCUUUGGAUACCUUUAUUAGGAGAGCUUGAAUUAACACCAUGGAAGAAAGCAUGAAGAUGAAUGAGCACACACACACACACACACACCCCAUUCACACUCAAAUAGGAAUCUCUGGUAGACUCAAAGAGUACAGCUGAUUUGCCAUUUCAGAGUGAAAAGGCUGCACUGUCUCACCCUGCCCCCAAAGUCUAACCUAUCCUAUUUUAACUGGUAUUGGUAAAAACUAUUUUUGCAAUUCCUUGCCGAAAGGAAUCAAACGGAUCCCUUUAACAUGUACAUAUAGUUCCAUUAUAAUGCAAUGCAGGUAACACUAACUUGAUUUCAAGAACAUUGUCAAAACUGGGGUACACAUCCUUCUAUUAGAAAUGGCUGGGGGACAGCUGAGAAUAAAUUUAUGGAAUUACAAAUUAUGGGAAUACUGGACUAAGUCAAGAAUGGUUACCAUGUAGCCAUUUUUACCAGCUAUUCUAGAGUCCCUUCACACAUAAACUUGACCCUGCAUUCCGGGAAAAGUACCUCUGGGUUGUCACUACAGAGUAAGGCUGGGGUCCUGCCAACCUUCCUUCAUCCUUUCUUCUAGUUCAUAAUAGGGAAGGUGAGCCAUUUCAUUCAUUCAUGUUUUGUUUGUUUUGUUUUUUUGAGACAGGGUCUGGCUCUAUUGCCUGGGCUGGAGUGCAGUGACACGAUCUUGGCUUAGUGCAACCUCUGCCUCCC